GGAGAUGUAGUUCAGUGGUGGAGCACUUGCCUAGCAUGCAGGAGACCCUGGGUUCAAUUCCCAAGUCCA
rnacentral:tRNA from 1 species